GCAUCGGACGGAGCCAAGCGUCUCGCGGAAUGCAAGCGACGACGAGCAACAUCGUUACACGUAUGGGCGUGCUGGAUUGUCACUGGGCAUCUCCCGCUCUUAACUUGGGCGUCUCCUUGCAGUGUCAGAAAUUAGCUCGAAAGUGUCCCAGAGCAGUUCUCAAAGUGGUUGACGCAGCAAAAGGAAUGAGAAGAUGGGCCUGUCCCAAUAUGGGGUUUACAAUCGAAAAAUGGACAGGGUCCCCUCGCGUACGGAUUAGGGCGAGCGGAAGCGCUUCCGGACCAGAGGGUGUUAUUUCGAGGCAAACUUCAGCCCCAGGACUUGUUUUUUCCCGGAAAAUGAGCAGUUCUCCCCCCCCCGCGCCGCAAAAACCUCUUUCGUGUGAAAGAGGAAGAGUCACCACGUAUCGGUGGUGAGCACUAGUUUAAGUCUUAAAUGUGUAGCUGCUACUGCAAGACCGCCUCCCACCCCUCACUUAAUUUGGAAUCCUCACAACCCAACAGUUCCUCCGAUCUCUGCUGGAGUGCCAGCCAGCCAGCCAUUUUGCAGGGGCAGAAUUUACCUUUAGAGUUUGAAGGAAGAUAGAUACACUUACCGUGGUCCAAAUGACUAUAUAGAGACGAGUAAAUAAAGCUUGAAUAGAUGCAUGUUUUUCACUGGAAAUCCCUUUCCUUGAACCCAAGCCUCAUGGUGUUAUGUGCAGGUCUCUCUGCAGGUUUGUUGUGUGAGUGACUGUGUAAACCCCAACUCUUAAGUAUCUUCAUAUAACAUAUCUUUAUAUUCAUUGCCUAGCCUGAAGACAUAGAUGAGUGUGUUUCCAAUAUCCUUCAUAGAACCAACUUUUGUUGGAAUUGGAACUACAACUUAGGAAAGGUGAUAUUUCUUAUUAGGACCAUUGUCAUUUGCUCACAAAAACUGUGGAAUAUUUGAACUUCAAAUUGUGGGUCAGUUUUUCAUUUGUGUUUCCAGACUAGUCAAAUUACUGGCAUUGUUCUGGGGGCUUUCUGCAGGCUUUCUAGUUACUCAGAAUUCUGCAUCAGGCUGAAUGGAAUGGAAGUUUUGACUAAUAUUCUGCAGCAGACUUGUUUUUGUUCAUAAUGUGUAUAGUACUUUUUGGUGUGCAAAAUGUUUUACCAUUAUUCAUCAUUGCCACAAUCUUGUGACUAUGAAUGCCUUACUUUUAAUUGUGAUAAAAAUUUUAUUGAAAGUGGACAUGCUUAAAGGUUGUGUGUGGAAUGUUUUAUGUCUUUGAAGCUGAUAACAUUCUUAAUGUGAAAAAUAAAGGACCACUUAAUUGCCUCUGAAUAUUAAAGUGGUUAAAAUAUGAAA